rfam:Candidatus Buchananbacteria bacterium RIFCSPLOWO2_01_FTLL_40_23b rifcsplowo2_01_scaffold_774, whole genome shotgun sequence.
GCGCCCGUAGCUUAAUUGGAUAAAGCGUCGGCCUCCGGAGCCGAAGACUGUGCGUUCAAUUCGCACCGGGCGCA